rnacentral:rRNA from 1 species
GCCGGCAGCCAUAUCACCCUGUAACCCAAGACUGGUUGCCCACUGAAGCUAAGCAGGGUUGAGCCUGGCCAGUACCUGGAUGGGAGACCUCCUGGGAAAACUAGGUUGCUGCUGGGA